UGUGUGUCUGUUAGUGUGUGUGACUGUUAGUGUGUGCACACACACUAACAGACACACACUAACAGACACACACG